UGGGGAAUUUUGCACAAUGGGGGAAACCCUGAUGCAGCGACGCCGCGUGAUUUAGAAGGCCUUCGGGUUGUAAAAAUCUUUUCUAUGGGAAGAAAAUGACAGUACCAUAGGAAUAAGGAGCGGCUAAUUACGUGCCAGCAGCCGCGGUAAUACGUAAGGUCCGAGCGUUGUCCGGAAUCAUUGGGCGUAAAGGGUACGUAGGCGGGUAAGCAAGUUUGAAGUGAAAUCCUAUAGCUCAACUAUAGUAAGCUUUUAUAACUGCUCAUCUUGAGAUAUGGUAGGAAAGGUGGAAUUCCUAGUGUAGCGGUCAAAUGCGCAGAUAUUAGUAGGAAUACCGGUGGCGAGGGCGACUUUCUGGCCAUAACCUGACGCUGAGGUACGCAAGAGUGGGUAGCAAACAGG
rnacentral:rRNA from 1 species